AUGCUUGACCAAAGUAGAAAUGCCUUUGAUAGCUUGGUCUCAAGGACCAGACAUUUGUCAAUAUGCUAGGUUGUCAAUAUGCUAGGUUGCAUUUAAGUGUUGUUUUAAAAGUGGAGGGUUAAAAGUUUCAAUUAAAAUGUUUUCUUCAUAAAUUG